rnacentral:rRNA from 1 species
UACGAAGGGGGCUAGCGUUGCUCGGAAUCACUGGGCGUAAAGCGCAUGUAGGCGGAUUGUUAAGUCAGGGGUGAAAUCCUGGAGCUCAACUCCAGAACUGCCUUUGAUACUGGCGAUCUCGAGUCCGGGAGAGGUGAGUGGAACUGCGAGUGUAGAGGUGAAAUUCGUAGAUAUUCGCAAGAACACCAGUGGCGAAGGCGGCUCACUGGCCCGGUACUGACGCUGAGGUGCGAAAGCGUGGGGAGCAAACAGG